rnacentral:rRNA from 1 species
UACGGAGGGUGCGAGCGUUGUCCGGAAUCAUUGGGCGUAAAGGGCGCGUAGGCGGCCGUCCCAAGCGUGCGGUGAAAGUCAGGGGCUCAACCCCUGAUCGGCCGUGCGAACUGGGGGGGCUCGAGCACUGUAGAGGCAGGCGGAAUUCCGGGUGUAGCGGUGGAAUGCGUAGAUAUCUGGAGGAACACCGGUGGCGAAGGCGGCAUCCUGGACCGGUAUUGACGCUGAGGCGCGAAAGCCAGGGGAGCAAACGGG